AGAGUUUGAUCCUGGCUCAGAACGAACGCUGGCGGCAGGCUUAACACAUGCAAGUCGAACGCCCCGCAAGGGGAGUGGCAGACGGGUGAGUAACGCGUGGGAACCUACCUUUCGGUACGGAAUAACUCGGGGAAACUCGUGCUAAUACCGUAUAUUCCGGUAACGGGAAAGAUUUAUCGCCGAAAGACGGGCCCGCGUUAGAUUAGCUAGUUGGUGGGGUAAUGGCCUACCAAGGCAACGAUCUAUAGCUGGUCUAAGAGGAUGAUCAGCCUCACUGGGACUGAGACACGGCCCAGACUCCUACGGGAGGCAGCAGUAGGGAAUAUUGGACAAUGGGGGCAACCCUGAUCCAGCCAUGCCGCGUGAAUGAUAAGGCCUUCGGGUUGUAAAGUUCUUUUGGUGGGGACGAUGAUGACGGUACCCACAGAAUAAGCUCCGGCUAACUUCGUGCCAGCAGCCGCGGUAAUACGAAGGGAGCUAGCGUUGUUCGGAAUUACUGGGCGUAAAGGGUGCGUAGGUGGUGCAAUUAGUCAGGUGUGAAAUCCCCGGGCUCAACCCGGGAACUGCAUUUGAUACUGUUGCGCUAGAAUUCGGGAGAGGUAAGUGGAAUUCCCAGUGUAGAGGUGAAAUUCGUAGAUAUUGGGAAGAACACCCGUGGCGAAGGCGGCUUACUGGACCGACAUUGACACUGAGGCACGAAAGUGUGGGGAGCAAACAGGAUUAGAUACCCUGGUAGUCC
rnacentral:rRNA from 1 species